CCUACGGGAGGCAGCAGUAGGGAAUCUUCCACAAUGGGCGAAAGCCUGAUGGAGCAACGCCGCGUGGGUGAAGAAGGUCUUCGGAUCGUAAAACCCUGUUGUUAGAGAAGAAAGUGCGUGAGAGUAACUGUUCACGUUUCGACGGUAUCUAACCAGAAAGCCACGGCUAACUACGUGCCAGCAGCCGCGGUAAUACGUAGGUGGCAAUCGUUAUCCGGAUUUAUUUGGCGUAAAGGGAACGCAGGCGGUCUUUUAAGUCUGAUGUGAAAGCCUUCGGGUUAACCGGAGUAGUGCAUUGGAAACUGGGAGACUUGAGUGCAGAAGAGGAGAGUGGAACUCCAUGUGUAGCGGUGAAAUGCGUAGAUAUAUGGAAGAACACCAGUGGCGAAAGCGGCUCUCUGGUCUGUAACUGACGCUGAGGUUCGAAAGCGUGGGUAGCAAACAGGAUUAGAUACCCGGGUAGUC
rnacentral:rRNA from 1 species